CAAUAGCGUAUAUUAAAGUUGUUGCGGUUAAAAAGCUCGUAGUUGGAUUUCUGCCGAGGACGACCGGUCCGCCCUCUGGGUGAGUAUCUGGCUCGGCCUGGGCAUCUUCUUGGAGAACGUAACUGCACUUGACUGUGUGGUGCGGUAUCCAGGACUUUUACUUUGAGGAAAUUAGAGUGUUUCAAGCAGGCACACGCCUUGAAUACAUUAGCAUGGAAUAAUAAUAUAGGACCUCGGUUCUAUUUUGUUGGUUUCUAGAGCUGAGGUAACGAUUAAUAGGGAUAGUUGGGGGCAUUCGUAUUUAACUGUCAGAGGUGAAAUUCUUGGAUUUGUUAAAGACGGACUACUGCGAGAGCAUUUGCCAAGGAUGUUUUCAUUGA
rnacentral:rRNA from 1 species